UGUAUUUAUCCUACCUCCAGUAUCCGCUAUCAAUGCUCCUUAGUGGCUCCUGUCAUUUGAGCUGCAAGAUAACGCUCCUCCUCUAUUCUGUUUCCGGCAAAAAGGGCCAGCCCACCAUGCGGCAGCCAAUCAGAACUCGUAGAGAGCAAUCACUUGUGAUUGGCUCUUCUUAAUAGCAAUCAUAUAAUUCUCGUUUCUGAUUGGAUUACAUACAUGUGCCCACCUUCUGUUGGGAAACCAUUGGCUGAGACAUGCUGGGGUGGGAAAUCUGAGUGAAAAAUCCCAGAAAGAGGCAGAAUGGUGGAGAGCAGAUAUGAUACUGCAAUAAAGAUUUCACAAAGGCGAUGCCCUUAUUACCAUGGCUGCUGGGCUUAAGACUAAAGGAGAAGGAGAUAAAAAAGGUUUCUUCAGCUAAAGAACCACUGGAUCCAUUUACAAUGGAAAGGAAGAUUCUGUGAGAAAGAUGAUAGAAGCUGGACUCCAGAAUCCUUAAAAUGUCAGCAACAUAGACUAAUUGUCUUUCUGGUUCGUCCAUCUUCAUAUGGGUGCACAUGCAUAGUAGAGUGAAAAGCCGAACUUUAACAAAAAAGCCAGCUUUGACCAUUGACCGUGGGCCAUCGAAGAAAGAAGCAGAAGAAGGUUUGUUAGACAUUCAUUUUCACUUUUUUUCAUGUUGCGGAGGAAUGUAUAAUUACUGUUGCUCCAGCUCCUAACUCUACAGUGACUUUACAGACCCCUAACUGGUACGAGGGACUGCCAGAAACUGUAUCUGUCUCAUGGUGAUGCCUUCUAAGCAAUUUGGGAAGUUAGCAUUUGCAAAAGACAGAAUGGCCAUUAUAUGUGAAACUGGACGUGCAUUUAUUAACAUAAAGGAACAGAAGUCUGCUGGGCCAGAUAUUGUUUUGAAAGAUUAUGAUACCCUUCCCAGCUCCAUUAAUCUUUUCUAUCCUUUCUGGCUUAACAUCUCUAACUGUAAGCCUAAGGUCUGGUCCAAGAAGCUUCAGAUACAGUUUUCUGUUAUGUUUAUCCAAACUGAAUCAGACCUGACAACAAUAUUAAUUGCAGCUUGUUCUGCUAUUGCAGCAGUUAUUUUCAUUAUUGGAGUAGCUGUUUACUGUGUCA